AUGGCUAUUUACAACCUCACGAUCAAACAUGUCCGAUUUCCACAGCUUUUAAUCCUCUUUUCUCUAUUUAUGAUCACCAAUUUCUUCUCUAUACUAACCCCAUUUACAAGUGCUGUAUCCUUCGACUUCACUCGUUUUGAUUCUCCAGACCCUAACAUAUUAUAUGAGCACGCUUACGCUGAUGAAGACCAAGUCAUUCAACUCACGGGCAGCAAGCUGAAAGGAUGGAUUGAUGGUCGAGCCACGUAUUCCAGACCCAUGCACCUGUGGGACAAAGACUCCGGAAAGCUCACAGAUUUCUCUACCCAUUUUUCCUUUGUUAUUGAUUCGCAGAAUCUACCAGUCUAUGCAGACGGGCUGGCCUUCUUCCUUGCAACUAACGGUUCCAAAAUUUCUGACGCUGCUUAUGCUGGCAAUAUGGGUCUCUUUAUCCCAGGGUCAAAGCCAGAGGAAAAUCCUUUUGUUGCAGUGGAAUUUGAUAUCUGUGACACUAACAGAUGGGAUCCGCCUGGGGAGCAUGUAGGUAUUGAUAUCAACACCAUGAAAUCUGUUGCUAAUGUGCCAUGGUUGAGUAAUAUUUCUAUAACGGAAGGGAAAACAAAUGAAGCUUGGAUUAGUUAAAAUUCAAGCUCAAAAAAUUUGAGUGUUGUCUUUACUGUUUUUAAAUACAAUGUCACUGUAAAUCAGUCGCUUUCUUAUAUUGUUGAUUUGAGCAAGGUCCUACCCGAAUGGGUUACUUUCGGAUUCUCAGCCGCAACAGGAGCUACUUCUGCUAUACAUACUAUUAAAUCUUGGGAUUUUAGUUCAAGUUUGGAAAUUGAUAAUAACAAUACCAUCCCUAAAGGACCCAGUCUAAACCUCCACUCUAAGAAAAGGAACACAUCCAAGUUAGUUGUGGGGUUCAUUGCGGGGGGAUUUAUUUUGGUUGGUGGGUUGACCAUGGUUCUGUUUGCCUUGUGGAAGAGGAAUCGGAGGGCUAACGAAGAUGAUCGUGCCCUUGAUGAAGAGUUUAAAAGGGAAAUAGGACCGAGGAGGUUUCCAUACGAUGAAUUGGCUCAAGCGACAAAUAAUUUCAACGACAAAGAAAAACUAGGCCAAGGGGGAUUUGGUGGAGUUUACAGGGGAUUCUUAAGGGACUUCAACUCCGUUGUUGCUGUUAAAAGGGUAUCACAAGGGUCUACACAAGGGAUAAGGGAGUAUGCAGCAGAAGUAAAAAUUAUCAGCCAAUUGAGACACAAGAAUUUGGUACAACUCAUUGGAUGGUGUCAUGAAAGAAGUAGAGGACAGCUAUUACUUGUUUAUGAUUUCAUGCCCAAUGGAAGCUUAGAUUUUCAUCUUUAUAAAGAAGAUACCUUAUUGGUGUGGGAAGUGAGGUACAAAAUUGUACAACACUUGGCCUCAGCCUUACUUUACUUGCAUGAAGGAUGGGAUCAUUGCGUGUUGCAUAGAGAUAUAAAACCGAGCAAUAUUAUGCUUGAUUCAAAUUUCAAUGCCAAACUUGGGGAUUUUGGAUUAGCUAGGCUUGUAGACCAUGCUAGUGCAUUACGAACUACUGAUUUGGCAGGUACCAAAGGCUAUAUGGACCCAGGAUGUGUCACAACCCGAAGGGCUAGUAAGGAAUCAGAUAUCUAUAGUUUUGGAAUUGUUGCACUAGAAUUAGCUUGUGGAAGAAAACCAGUCAACCAUGAGGCCCCAGAAGAUCAAGUAGUCAUGUUAGAGUGGGUUUGGGAGCUCCAUGGAAGAGGAGUACUUCUUGACGUAGCUGACCAAAGGCUGGGUGGACAUUUUGAUGAGCAACAAAUGAACUGUUUGUUGAUUGUAGGGCUUUGGUGUGCUCACUCUGAAUAUGUUCAUAGGCCUUCAAUAAAAGAAGCAAUUCAAGUGCUCAAUUUUGAAGCUCCAUUACCUCUUCUCCAAUUUGAUAUCCUCAAGUCAUCACAUCAUACUCCAACAAUGAAUGAGGCUACAUCUAUGUUUUCAACCUCCAAUGAAUGAUACUAAUUCUACCAAAUGACAACUCCAAUUCCUCAUAGUUUAAAGCACACUUUGUUGCUUAUUUACUUGCAUUGCUUUUGUUGUUAGAAGUUGAACUUGUUUUAAUUGAACUUUCAUUUAAAGUAAGAAUGUUUUAUAUAUGUUGAAUGAGUGUGGAAUAAA